AACGAACGCUGGCGGCAGGCUUAACACAUGCAAGUCGAACGCCCCGCAAGGGGAGUGGCAGACGGGUGAGUAACGCGUGGGAAUCUACCGUACCCUACGGAAUAGCUCCGGGAAACUGGAAUUAAUACCGUAUACGCCCUACGGGGGAAAGAUUUAUCGGGGUAUGAUGAGCCCGCGUUGGAUUAGCUAGUUGGUGGGGUAAAGGCCUACCAAGGCGACGAUCCAUAGCUGGUCUGAGAGGAUGAUCAGCCACAUUGGGACUGAGACACGGCCCAAACUCCUACGGGAGGCAGCAGUGGGGAAUAUUGGACAAUGGGCGCAAGCCUGAUCCAGCCAUGCCGCGUGAGUGAUGAAGGUCUUAGGAUUGUAAAGCUCUUUCACCGAUGAAGAUAAUGACGGUAGUCGGAGAAGAAGCCCCGGCUAACUUCGUGCCAGCAGCCGCGGUAACAC
rnacentral:rRNA from 1 species